rnacentral:rRNA from 1 species
UACGUAGGGUGCAAGCGUUAAUCGGAAUUACUGGGCGUAAAGCGUGCGCAGGCGGUUAUGUAAGACAGAUGUGAAAUCCCCGGGCUCAACCUGGGAACUGCAUUUGUGACUGCAUAGCUAGAGUACGGUAGAGGGGGAUGGAAUUCCACGUGUAGCAGUGAAAUGCGUAGAGAUGUGGAGGAACACCGAUGGCGAAGGCAGCCCCCUGGGCUAACACUGACGCUCAGGCACGAAAGCGUGGGGAGCAAACAGG